rnacentral:rRNA from 1 species
UACGUAGGGUGCAAGCGUUGUCCGGAAUUAUUGGGCGUAAAGAGCUCGUAGGCGGCUUGUCGCGUCGGCUGUGAAAACCUGGGGCUCAACCCCGGGCCUGCAGCCGAUACGGGCAGGCUAGAGUUCGGUAGGGGAGACUGGAAUUCCUGGUGUAGCGGUGAAAUGCGCAGAUAUCAGGAGGAACACCGGUGGCGAAGGCGGGUCUCUGGGCCGAUACUGACGCUGAGGAGCGAAAGCGUGGGGAGCGAACAGG